rnacentral:rRNA from 1 species
AGUUAAACGGCCGCGGUACCCUAACCGUGCAAAGGUAGCACAAUCACUUGUUCUUUAAAUCAGGACUAGUAUGAACGGCCUAACGAGGGCUAUACUGUCUCCCCCCUUCAAUCAGUGAAACUGAUCCCCUCGUGAAGAAGCGAGGAUAUCCCUAUAAGACGAGAAGACCCCAUGGAACUUUAAACUAGUAUCACCUCUUUAUUUUGAGAUACAUGACUACUAGUCUUUCGGCUGGGGCGACCACGGGGAAAACCAAAACCCCCGAGAUGAAAGGAAUUAUCCUUAUCCAAGAACUACUAUUCAAAGAAUCAAUAAAUGACUUAAUUGACCCAAUACUUGAUCAACGAACCAAGCUACCCUGGGGAUAACAGCGCAAUCCAUUUCAAGAGACCUCAUCAACAAAUGGGCUUACGACCUCGAUGUUGGAUCAGGGAAUCCAAGUGGUGCAGCCGCUACUAAAGGUUCGUUUGUUCAACGAUUAAAACCCUACGUGAUCUGAGUUCAGAC